rnacentral:rRNA from 1 species
GAGGAAUAUUGGUCAAUGGGCGAGAGCCUGAACCAGCCAAGUAGCGUGCAGGAUGACGGCCCUAUGGGUUGUAAACUGCUUUUGUAUGGGGAUAAAGUCAGUCACGUGUGAUUGUUUGCAGGUACCAUACGAAUAAGGACCGGCUAAUUCCGUGCCAGCAGCCGCGGUAAUACGGAAGGUCCGGGCGUUAUCCGGAUUUAUUGGGUUUAAAGGGAGCGUAGGCUGGAGAUUAAGUGUGUUGUGAAAUGUAGACGCUCAACGUCUGACUUGCAGCGCAUACUGGUUUCCUUGAGUACGCACAACGUUGGCGGAAUUCGUCGUGUAGCGGUGAAAUGCUUAGAUAUGACGAAGAACUCCGAUUGCGAAGGCAGCUGACGGGAGCGCAACUGACGCUGAAGCUCGAAGGUGCGGGUAUCGAACAGGAUUAGAUACCCUGGUAGUCCGCACAGUAAACGAUGGAUGCCCGCUGCUGGUACUUGGUAUCAGCGGCUAAGCGAAAGCAUUAAGCAUCCCACCUGGGGAGUACGCCGGCAACGGUG